rnacentral:tRNA from 1 species
GCGCUUGUGGCUCAAUGGAUAGAGCACUUGACUACGGAUCAAGAGGUUGGGGGUUCGAGUCCCUUCAAGCGCG